GCCGCCUUCCGGCCGGGCCCCUGCUCGCAUCUUGGCCUGCUGAGGCUGCGGGGCUCGGCCCGGCCUUCGAGAAUCCCCCGGCGCCUUCCCGAGCCUUCUAGACGUAUCUGGGCCGCCUCCUCUCUCCCUCCCCUUCCAGCCCUUCAUUCCCUCACUGCGGGCAGGCCCGCAGGCCCGGCGCAAACGUGGGGAAAGGAGUUGACCUUUGAGACCUGAUUGUUCAUGGCUGUUUCACAGAUGUCGAAGUGGAGACUCGGCAGGGUUGGAGGUUACCGGAGUCUCCCAGCUAAAAUGGAAGUGCUUGGUGAGGUUUGAGGUGUCUGAGCCGAAGAGCAGCCAGUGACAGGCCUGGGGAUCAUCUGACACAGCCCACUUGACAAGGCCUUGGAAACUUUUGGUCUCUGCAGCAGCAACCGGAUUUCAGCCUGGGCUUCGGACACCUUAGCCUGCGACUGUACAUCUUGGCCUCUUACCUACUGUGUCUGCGUCAGCCUCCCUCACAGCCUGAUGGCCCCUGCGGCAGCCCCACCCCAGUUGUAGGGGCUAAGAAAACUACAGUUCCAUGAAAGAGCAGAAGUGAGUGGGAGGCAGAAGUGGCGGGGAGAACCAGCCUGGAGAGGUGUUCUGAGAUCUCUAGACCAGCCAGUGGAUCCUGAUGCCUCACAUGGUCAGCCUUGUCUAGAGCCCCUUCCAGCACGGAGGCCAGCCCUCCUGGCAUUCUUCUAAUGACACUGAGCUAUGAGUUA